UCGCUUGCAUGGAGUGCCUGAUGAAGUAAUUUCUGAUAGGGGAGUGCAGUUUACAUCUCAUUUUUGGAAAUAUUUUUGUUCUAUUCUAGGUAUUAAUGUAAAUCUGUCUUCAGCUUUUCAUCCACAAAGUAAUGGACAGACUGAGCGAACCAACCAGACUUUAGAACAAUAUUUGCGGUGCUAUAUUAGUUACCUGCAGGAUGACUGGCUGGAUUUUCU